rnacentral:Y_RNA from 2 species
GGCUGGUCUGAGUGCAGUGGCAUUUACAACCAAUUGAUCACAGCCAGUUACGGAUUUCUUUGUUCCUUUUCCAGUCCCACUGCUUCACUUGACUAGCCUUUA